GACGAACGCUGGCGGCGUGCUUAACACAUGCAAGUCGAACGAAGAGCGAUGGAAGCUUGCUUCUAUCAAUCUUAGUGGCGAACGGGUGAGUAACGCGUAAUCAACCUGCCCUUCAGAGGGGGACAACAGUUGGAAACGACUGCUAAUACCGCAUACGAUCUAAUCUCGGCAUCGAGGAUAGAUGAAAGGUGGCCUCUACAUGUAAGCUAUCACUGAAGGAGGGGAUUGCGUCUGGUUAGCUAGUUGGAGGGGUAACGGCCCACCAAGGCGAUGAUCAGGAGCCGGUCUGAGAGGAUGAACGGCCACAUUGGGACUGAGACACGGCUCAGACUCCUACGGGAGGCAGCAGUGGGGAAUCUUCCGCAAUGGACGAAAGUCUGACGGAGCAACGCCGCGUGAGUGAUGACGGCCUUCGGGUUGUAAAGCUCUGUUAAUCGGGACGAAAGGCCUUCUUGCGAAUAGAGAGAAGGAUUGACGGUACCGGAAUAGAAAGCCACGGCUAACUACGUG
rnacentral:rRNA from 1 species